GGGCCGCAAUCGGAGCUAGCGGAUCGCCCUCGCAUGGCGGAGGUCACGAGUUCGAGUCUCGUCGGGUCCA
rnacentral:tRNA from 1 species